GACGAACGCUGGCGGCGUGCCUAAUACAUGCAAGUCGAACGCAGUGGGGACGGGUGAGUAACACGUGGGUAACCUCCCAUCAGAGGGGAUAACACUUGGAAACAGGUGCUAAACCGAUACUGAUGGAUGGACCCGCGGUGCAUUAGCUAGUUGGUGAGGUAACGGCUCACCAAGGCCACGAUGCAUAGCCGACAGAGGGGGGGGAUCGACAACACUGGAACGGAGAAACGGCCAAGAUCCCUAGGGGGGGCAGCAGUGGGGAAGCUUCGGCAAGGGACGAAAGUCGGACCGAGCAACGCCGGGUGAGUGAAGAAGGUUUUCGGAUCGUAAAACUCUGUGGUUAGAGAAGCGGUAUCUAACCAGAAAGCCACGGCUAACUACGUGCCAGCAGCCGCGGUAAUA
rnacentral:rRNA from 1 species